AUAUAUAUGAAACAUUAACUUUGAAUUUUAAUUCAAUGUAGGCUUCUUUGACCAAAAUAUUGCACAACGUUAUAAUGAAAAAAAUAAUGAAUCGAUUAAUCCAGAAAUGAAAUAAAUAAAAAUAAGAGUAACAGAACUGUGUGAUUUAGAUAGGGCUCAAAAUUUCCACUUGCCCACUAGCCAUUGGCGAGUGUGAAGUGGUGAGUAACUUUUAAGGUCUGGCUAGUAGAGCAGGACUUUAAAU